GUGCUAUGAAGAUGAGAUAGCCGUGCACCACUCUGAGAUUGAUUUUUCAGUCUGUACUGAUUCUUGACUCAUACCCAUUUAUCUGAGCAC